GAUGAACGCUAGCGGCAGGCUUAAUACAUGCAAGUCGAGGGGCAGCAUGAUUGUAGCAAUACAAUUGAUGGCGACCGGCAAACGGGUGCGGAACACGUACACAACCUCCCAAUAAGUGGGGAAUAGCCCAGAGAAAUUUGGAUUAAUACCCCGUAACAUAACGAUGUGGCAUCACAUUGUUAUUAUAGAUUUUUCGCUUAUUGAUAGGUGUGCGGCUGAUUAGAUAGUUGGCGGGGUAACGGCCCACCAAGUCUACGAUCAGUAGCUGAUGUGAGAGCAUGAUCAGCCACACGGGCACUGAGACACGGGCCCGACUCCUACGGGAGGCAGCAGUAAGGAAUAUUGGACAAUGGACGCAAGUCUGAUCCAGCCAUGCCGCGUGAAGGAUUAAGGUCCUCUGGAUUGUAAACUUCUUUUAUAAGGGACGAAAAAAGGCUUUUCUAAGUCGUCUGACGGUACCUUAUGAAUAAGCACCGGCUAACUCCGUGCCAGCAGCCGCAGUAAAAC
rnacentral:rRNA from 1 species